rnacentral:lncRNA from 1 species
AAGAGAGGCAGCGGCUGCCGUGAAGGCUGGGAUCGGAUGGGAGAGGUCCUUCUUGGGCUCUAUUUGUUUGUUUGUGACUGGAGCUGCAAAGUUCAGAGCCAAACGUGUUGCUUUCCGGCGGCGGCGACCGCCCCGCUUCACCUGCUCCGCUGACGGGUGCCUACCCGGGGCGGCCCCGCGGCUCUGCGGGUCCUCUGCCCGGCAUCCUGCCUGCCGCUGGGGCCGACGGACGCCAGAGGAGCGGGGGCUGUGUCUCUCGCCUGCCCGCCUUCCCCUCCGCGCCUGCCGGAGGGCAACGGACAGCAUCUCCAGGGGUUUGCCUUGCGGGGAGCCUGUGCCGUGUGGCUGCUUGUGAGCGCCCGGAGGCACGACCCCUCUUAGGAAUGGGAGAAAGUUGCCGAUGCUCAGGAGGGACG